rnacentral:rRNA from 1 species
UACGUAGGAGACGAGCGUUGUCCGGAGUUACUGGGCGUAAAGGGUGCGCAGGUGGCGGCGCGCGUGGGGGGUGAAAUCGCCCGGCUUAACUGGGCGGGGGCCUUCCAGACGGCGUGGCUUGAGCAGCGGAGGGGGACGUGGAAUUCCGGGUGGAGCGGUGAAAUGCGUAGAGAUCGGAAAGAACACCAACGGCGAAAGCACUCUGCUGGGCCGACACUGACACUGAGAGACGAAAGCUAGGGGAGCGAACGGG